GAAAACACAUUCCAAACAAGUUAAACCCCAAAUAAAAUUGUGCCGCCACUGUGUUUUAGACAAAGAAAUCUUUUGCGUAUGUUCGUCCCUCUUUAACACAAUCAGACCGCCAAAUUCCCGAAAUCGGGGCAAAUUAGAUGCGGCGCGGACAAGUACGUAACGAUUUACUACAGCCCCCGUUCCCCGUCGCGACAGUCACAUUUCACACUCGCUUAAAGACACAUCGCUCUUGUUUCUAGCUCAAAUUUUCCUCUCGCCACAAAUUGUCGAGUGACAAUUAUUUGCUCUAAUUGCAGAAAAAUUGCAAUUUAUAUAUUUUAUUUGCUCUUAAUCGUUAAGAUAACGAUUUUUAUAUUAAACCUAUAUAUUUUUAUGCGAAGUGUGCUCAAUUUAAGUAACAUUUUGUGUUCACAAAUAACUGUAUGAUAGUUAUUUUUGGCUCGGUAAUUAAACCCAUUGAUAACAUAAAACGACGUAAGACGUUGUCUCGUUACUUGUGUCUGAUGUUGAUGGCUGCUGCUCGUGGUACCUGUGCAUUGAUACUUACCUGUUCUGGGUUCCGAUGGUGAGAAAACCAUACAAGGUAACCUUUUAAGUUUAUUGUACUGUAUGGCUGACCAAUCUACUCAGAUUUCAUAAAGUUACGUGUAAUUAAUGUAAAGUACCUACAAAACAAAAACAUUCAGUGUAGUGCUUUCCUGAUUUAAACCUAGAGUACUGGUGGAUUAGUGUCUCAAUAGGUGUUAUAGAAAUAAAGAGACAUUUUUCAAUCGCUCUCCUUAUAUUUAAAUUAAAUUGAAUUAUAACUUGAUACCAAAUUCAUGUAAAAAAAGGGUAUCAAAUUUUGCUGGUAUUUUUGAUAAUUUGUUUUGUUCUAUAUUAAUAAUUUUACUGUUGUUAUUUUAGUUAAGAAAAGCAUGAAUGGAUGAGCGCAUGACUUAAAUUUAAGAUUAUUUGUUUUUGUUGAAAUACACCCCAGUUUUCUUAUUUUAACACUGACUGGGUGACUACAAAGAUAUUUAUUUUAUAACAAAUAAAUAUUCUCACAAAUGUAA